rnacentral:rRNA from 1 species
CCUACGGGGGGCUGCAGUGGGGAAUAUUGGACAAUGGGGGCAACCCUGAUCCAGCCAUGCCGCGUGUGUGAAGAAGGCCCUCGGGUUGUAAAGCACUUUCAGUGAGGAAGAACGCCUGGUGGUUAAUACCCAUCAGGAAAGACAUCACUCACAGAAGAAGCACCGGCUAACUCCGUGCCAGCAGCCGCGGUAAUACGGAGGGUGCGAGCGUUAAUCGGAAUUACUGGGCGUAAAGCGCGCGUAGGUGGCUUGAUAAGCCGGUUGUGAAAGCCCCGGGCUCAAACUGGGAACGGCAUCCGGAACUGUCAAGCUAGAGGGCAGGAGAGGAAGGUAGAAUUCCCGGUGGAGCGGUGAAAUGCGUAGAGAUCGGGAGGAAUACCAGUGGCGAAGGCGGCCUUCUGGACUGACACUGACACUGAGGUGCGAAAGCGUGGGUAGCAAACAGGAUUAGAUACCCUAGUAGUC